rnacentral:rRNA from 1 species
GGAAGUAAAAGUCGUAACAAGGUUUCCGUAGGUGAACCUGCGGAAGGAUCAUUAUUGAAUUAAUGUAGAGUUUGGUUGUAGCUGGCUCCUAAUUAAACUUGGGGGCAUGUGCACACCUUUCUCUUUCAUCCCAUACACACCUGUGCACCUGUGAGACAGAUGUUUUGUGGGGGGGAAGGAACUUUAUUGGACCUUCUACUCCCCCUUGACUUCUGUCUACUUAAUUCAUAUAAACUCAAUUUAUUUUAAAACGGAUGUAAUGGAUGUAACACAUCUAAUACUAAGUUUCAACAACGGAUCUCUUGGCUCUCGCAUCGAUGAAGAACGCAGCGAAAUGCGAUAAGUAAUGUGAAUUGCAGAAUUCAGUGGAUCUUCGAAUCUUUGAACGCACCUUGCGCUCCUUGGUAUUCCUUGGAGCAUGCCUGUUUGAGUAUCAUGAAAUCUUCAAAGUCAAACCUUUUGUUAAUUCAAUUGGUUCUGCUUUGGUAUUGGAGGAUUAUUGCAGCUUCACACCUGCUCCUCUUUGUGCAUUAGCUGGAUCUCAGUGUUAUGCUUGGUUCCACUCAGCGUGAUAAGUUAUCUAUCGCUGAGGACACCCUGUUAAAAAGGGGUGGCCAAGGUAAAUGCAGAUGAACCGCAUCUAAUAGUCCAUUGACUUGGACNAAUAUCUAAUUUAUGAUCUGAUCUCAAAUCAGGUAGGACUACCCGCUGAACUUAAGCAUAUCAAUAAGCGGAGGA